GCUAAUUGUGUGCUAAAAGUAUAAAUAGGUUUGAGUGUGUAGCCUGGUUCCAGUGCAUCAGCAUGGAGCAGGCUGUGUGGCUGCUGGGUCUCCUGUGUCUGCAGGUCUGUCUGCUCUCCACCACGGCCCUCCCUGGACCAGACAGACGGACGGCAGCCUUGCAAACCAACCAAGCCAUGGAAGGAUCCUCUCCAGUCAUACCACGACCACCACCACCACCACCGCAGAAUUCACAGGAGGAAGUAAGGAGUGAAUGCAAGAGAAACAGUGAAAUAUGUCGCUCUCGUAGUGGAGCCAUGGGACCCAUGGGAAUCAAGAUGUGUCUUCAGGGACCCAACAGGGUAAGAGACGGCCAAACACAAAUUAUGAAGAACCAGAGGUCCUCAGUAAACAAAGUCUGAGAAAUGGCUUGGUGACCUGACAGAUUUAAAGGACAUUAAAUGGACAUUCUCUUCUCCUUAUAUAGUAUAACAACAUGCAAUCACAAACCCCUGCUUGCCUCUAGUCUACGACCCAAUAUAGUGUACAUGUAUGCCUAUAUAAAACACUUCCAAUCACUUUUUCUUACCGAUUUUGUCAAAUCCAAAAUGCAGCACUCAAAGAGGUCCUGUCUUUUGUGUUCGUUAUUAGAAAUGAUUUCCACUCUCUGAUGCUUCUCUCCUCUAGCCUCAGAGUUCAUGGAUUAAGACACAGGAAGAAUCUGGAAAUGUGUCGCUCCCCCGUAGGAGCCAUGAGUCUAGUCUCCUCUUGUGGAAUAACAAUAUGUAAUCACUCUCAACAGGGACACACCACCAUUCCAACAUCCUAGACCUUAUCCUCCUCCAUUUCUGGAGAGAAACAAAGAAAAUAACACAUUUAAUAAGAACCAGUGUUCUUGUUUCCACCUCUGACCCUUCUCUCCUCUGACCUCAGAGUUUAAGAACUAAGAAGCAGGUGAAAGUCAAGCUAAACAUCGCAAAGAAAAUGCCACAAAUGCUUCACUCCAAUUCAGGAAGCUUGUCUAGUGUCCAUGCCUAGACCACUCUGUUGGGACCAAGAGGCAGCAGAGGCAGCAGAGGCAGGAGAGGCAGAAGAAAGCCAAGAACAAAUGCAAGAAUAUGCUUCAAAAUGGUGUUGCACGCACUUUGGAGCCACGACUCCAACUUGGCGGCCAGUGGCUCAUGAAGACAAUCACAUAUUCACCCCUUUCUGCUGGCUUAUCAUUAUUAUAAUAUCUGUGUUGGCAUAUUAUUUCUCUGUCUGAUUUUAGACUUCAAAACAGUGUAAAAGUUAUUUCCAAAGAAAAUGGGUUGUUGUUAUUACUGUCUUACUAUUAUCAUUAUUAGUAGUCAUGGUAGGAUCUGUAUAUCACACACUGACAAAGACCAAACCAACAGCCUGGAAAGCCAAGAUCAACUCCCUCUUGUCUGAC
ensembl:lncRNA